AACGCACAUGGCGCCCCCCGGCAUCCCGGGGGGCAUGCCUGUCCGAGCGUCGUUUCAACCCUCGAGCCCACGUGGCCCGGCGUUGGGGAUCUACGGCCCGUUCCGUAGGCCCCGAAAACCAGUGGCGGCCCCGCGCGGACCCCCCCUUGCGUAGUAGCAUCAGCCUCGCAUCGGAGACCCGCGGGACGACCUCGCCUCUAAACCCCCAACAUCCAAGCCCGCCCCAGGCGGCACACAGGUUGACCUCGGAUCAGGUAGGAAUACCCGCUGAACUUAA
rnacentral:misc_RNA from 2 species